GUAGGCGGUUUGAUAAGUCAGAUGUGAAAGCCCACGGCUUAACCGUGGAAGUGCAUUUGAUACUGUUAGACUUGAGUACCAGAGGGGAAAGUGGAAUUCCCGGUGUAGAGGUGAAAUUCGUAGAUAUCGGGAGGAAUACCGGUGGCGAAGGCGACUUUCUGGCUGGAUACUGACGCUGAGGCGCGAAAGCGUGGGGAGCAAACAGGAUUAGAUACCCUGGUAGUCCACGCUGUAAACGAUGUCAACUAGAUGUAGGGGGUGUUGAUCCCUUCUGUGUCGCAGCUAACGCAUUAAGUUGACCGCCUGGGGAGUACGGUCGCAAGAUUAAAACUCAAAGGAAUUGACGG
rnacentral:rRNA from 1 species